rnacentral:snoRNA from 1 species
GUGCAUGUGACGAGAAACCAUAUAUACUCACGACGGUCGUCUCAGACACUUUAACACUUAGUGUGUAAUGGUGCAGUCAUAUGUUCUCUGAUGCCC